GGUCAAGCUACAAAGGGCUCACGGUGGAUACCUUGGCACACAGAGGCGAUGAAGGACGUGGUUACCUGCGAUAAGUCUCGGGGAGCUGGAAACACGCUUUGAUCCGGGAAUUUCCGAAUGGGGCAACCCCUAGAACGGCU
rnacentral:rRNA from 1 species